rnacentral:rRNA from 1 species
UACGAAGGGGGCUAGCGUUGCUCGGAAUCACUGGGCGUAAAGGGUGCGUAGGCGGGUCUUUAAGUCAGGGGUGAAAUCCUGGAGCUCAACUCCAGAACUGCCUUUGAUACUGAAGAUCUCGAGUCCGGGAGAGGUGAGUGGAACUGCGAGUGUAGAGGUGAAAUUCGUAGAUAUUCGCAAGAACACCAGUGGCGAAGGCGGCUCACUGGCCCGGUACUGACGCUGAGGCGCGAAAGCGUGGGGAGCAAACAGG